UACAGAGGUCCCGAGCGUUGUUCGGAUUCACUGGGCGUAAAGGGUGCGUAGGCGGUGGAGUAAGUCGGAUGUGAAAUACCAUAGCUUAACUAUGGAACUGCACUCGAUACUACUUUGCUAGAGUAAGACAGAGGUGAGUGGAACUGAGGGUGGAGCGGUGAAAUGCGUUGAUAUCCUCAGGAACACCGGUGGCGAAGGCGACUCACUGGACCGGUACUGACGCUGAUGCGCGAAAGCGUGGGGAGCAAACAGG
rnacentral:rRNA from 1 species